UAAUCACAUUAGAUGGCAUGCCAUUUUAUCGUUAAAUAAACUAUUCGUUAGGUAGGGUACUAUCCAGACAACAACAGGAAAGAAUUUGAAGGAAAAUUGUUUUACAUCUCCCUCUCUUCAGUUGCUUUGGCAUCUUCCGUCCAACUGCCUAAUUUGACAAUGUCUUCCACAAGAUAAAAUGAUGAAUGUUGAAACAUGCAGACACAUUCAAAAUGAUACAUCCUUCAAGUACAUCGCAGCAACUGAUGAGUUCUUGGAUGCCUUCCUUGCCUGAUGUAUCCUUCAAGUACAUCGCAGCAGCUUCCACCUCCUCAGGAGUAACUUUCCCAUCAUAAUCCCUGCAUACAAGUAGGAUUACUGGAUGUGAGUGUCGUCACAGGAUGGAGUUCAUAAACCAUCUUAUUCCCUGUAUUUGCAUCCCUCUGCUUCAUACUAGC
rnacentral:lncRNA from 1 species